GAUGAACGCUGGCGGCGUGCCUAAUACAUGCAAGUCGAGCGAACGGACGAGAAGCUUGCUUCUCUGAUGUUAGCGGCGGACGGGUGAGUAACACGUGGAUAACCUACCUAUAAGACUGGGAUAACUUCGGGAAACCGGAGCUAAUACCGGAUAAUAUUUUGAACCGCAUGGUUCAAAAGUGAAAGACGGUCUUGCUGUCACUUAUAGAUGGAUCCGCGCUGCAUUAGCUAGUUGGUAAGGUAACGGCUUACCAAGGCAACGAUGCAUAGCCGACCUGAGAGGGUGAUCGGCCACACUGGAACUGAGACACGGUCCAGACUCCUACGGGAGGCAGCAGUAGGGAAUCUUCCGCAAUGGGCGAAAGCCUGACGGAGCAACGCCGCGUGAGUGAUGAAGGUCUUCGGAUCGUAAAACUCUGUUAUUAGGGAAGAACAUAUGUGUAAGUAACUGUGCACAUCUUGACGGUACCUAAUCAGAAAGCCACGGCUAACUACGUGCCAGCAGCCGCGGUAAUACGUAGGUGGCAAGCGUUAUCCGGAAUUAUUGGGCGUAAAGCGCGCGUAGGCGGUUUUUUAAGUCUGAUGUGAAAGCCCACGGCUCAACCGUGGAGGGUCAUUGGAAACUGGAAAACUUGAGUGCAGAAGAGGAAAGUGGAAUUCCAUGUGUAGCGGUGAAAUGCUCAGAGAUAUGGAGGAACACCAGUGGCGAAGGCGACUUUCUGGUCUGUAACUGACGCUGAUGUGCGAAAGCGUGGGGAUCAAACAGGAUUAGAUACCCUGGUAGUCCACGCCGUAAACGAUGAGUGCUAAGUGUUAGGGGGUUUCCGCCCCUUAGUGCUGCAGCUAACGCAUUAAGCACUCCGCCUGGGGAGUACGACCGCAAGGUUGAAACUCAAAGGAAUUGACGGGGACCCGCACAAGCGGUGGAGCAUGUGGUUUAAUUCGAAGCAACGCGAAGAACCUUACCAAAUCUUGACAUCCUUUGACAACUCUAGAGAUAGAGCCUUCCCCUUCGGGGGACAAAGUGACAGGUGGUGCAUGGUUGUCGUCAGCUCGUGUCGUGAGAUGUUGGGUUAAGUCCCGCAACGAGCGCAACCCUUAAGCUUAGUUGCCAUCAUUAAGUUGGGCACUCUAAGUUGACUGCCGGUGACAAACCGGAGGAAGGUGGGGAUGACGUCAAAUCAUCAUGCCCCUUAUGAUUUGGGCUACACACGUGCUACAAUGGACAAUACAAAGGGCAGCGAAACCGCGAGGUCAAGCAAAUCCCAUAAAGUUGUUCUCAGUUCGGAUUGUAGUCUGCAACUCGACUACAUGAAGCUGGAAUCGCUAGUAAUCGUAGACCAGCAUGCUACGGUGAAUGCGUCCCCGGGUCU
rnacentral:rRNA from 1 species